UGACGCCAGCUGAGAUCGUUGAUUUUUUUUUUUUUUUUUUGAAAUUGCGUUCGUUUUUGUUCUUUGAUGAACAGCUGGACUGUACGUACAAGAACACGUUUUGUGUGUUGUUAUUCGAAAAUAAUGGACGAGAACAAGUUGUUGGAGCAAAAGAAGAGUUUGGAGGAUAAGCUCAGGAAAUUGUGUCCGAAAACUGAAAGUGAAUACAAGACGGAAGUUAUGAAAUUACUGGAAGAGUACAACGCUGUAAAGGAUGCGGUCCAGACGUUGAUCGGUGGAUUGGCAACAAUUGAAAAUGGUACAGUGAAGGAAAUCCACGAACGACUGAAUUUGCAUUCGGAAGAUUAAAUUUCUUUAAAUGGUAACUCGUUGUGAUUUUGUAGAAAUAAAUUCGAUGGUUGAUUGAGGAACAACCUGCUUAA